CUUGAACGCUGGCGGCAGGCUUAACACAUGCAAGUCGAGCGAGCGGCGGACGGGUGAGUAAUGUAUGGGGAACUGCCUGAUGGAGGGGGAUAACUACUGGAAACGGUAGCUAAUACCGCAUACCAUCAGAUGUACCCAUAUGGGAUUAGCUUGUAGGGGAGGUAACGGCUCACCUAGGCGACGAUCCCUAGCUGGUCUGAGAGGAUGACCAGCCACACGGGGACUGGGACACGGCCCAGACUCCUACGGGAGGCAGCAGUGGGGAAUAUUGCACAAUGGGCGCAAGCCUGAUGCAGCCAUGCCGCGUGUAUUAAGAAGGCCUUCGGGUUGUAAAGUACUUUCAGUCGGGAGGCGUUACCGGCAGAAGAAGCACCGGCUAACUCCGUGCCAGCAGCCGCGGUAAUAC
rnacentral:rRNA from 1 species